CCUACGGGGGGCAGCAGUGAGGAAUAUUGGUCAAUGGGCGCAAGCCUGAACCAGCCAAGUCGCGUGAGGGAUGACGGUCCUAUGGAUUGUAAACCUCUUUUGUCGGGGAGCAAGGCCCGCCACGUGUGGCGGGAAGGAGAGUACCCGAAGAAAAAGCAUCGGCUAACUCCGUGCCAGCAGCCGCGGUAAUACGGAGGAUGCGAGCGUUAUCCGGAUUUAUUGGGUUUAAAGGGUGCGCAGGCGGUCUGUUAAGUCAGCGGUCAAAGCCCGGGGCUCAACCCCGGCCCGCCGUUGAAACUGGCAGG
rnacentral:rRNA from 1 species